GUGGGGAAUAUUGGACAAUGGGCGCAAGCCUGAUCCAGCCAUGCCGCGUGAGUGAUGAAGGCCUUAGGGUUGUAAAGCUCUUUCAGUAGGGAAGAUAAUGACGGUACCUACAGAAGAAGCCCCGGCUAACUUCGUGCCAGCAGCCGCGGUAAUACGAAGGGGGCUAGCGUUGUUCGGAUUUACUGGGCGUAAAGCGCACGUAGGCGGAAUGUUAAGUCAGAGGUGAAAUCCUGGAGCUCAACUCCAGAACUGCCUUUGAUACUGGCAAUCUCGAGUCCGGAAGAGGUGAGUGGAACUCCUGGUGUAGAGGUGGAAUUCGUAGAUAUUGGGAAGAACACCAGUGGCGAAGGCGGCUCACUGGUCCGGUACUGACGCUGAGGUGCGAAAGCGUGGGGAGCAAACAGGAUUAGAAACCCCAGUAGUCC
rnacentral:rRNA from 1 species